CUCUUCAGCCCCUGCGCCUGGUGUGCGAGGCAGUGACGGGUGCGUGCGAAGGGGAGGGAGGGGGGAUGGUUGGCAAUGGGCGGGAGAGACUGAGGCGAGCCCUGCUUCCUUUUCUCUCUGCCAGCCCGAUCUCCGCUCAUUUUCUCUAAGCAAUACCACUCCACGGACAGCUACCUAGCCAGCCCUACGCGCCCAGCAUGGACAUACCAGGCUGUGCGCCGCCCGCCCUGUGAGGACGCCCUGUUGCCCUGCCCGCAGGAGGAAGACUCGGAUCUACAGCCCAGCGCCAGCCAGCG